AUAACAUGCGUCGUAUGCGUUCUCUUUUCGUGAUGUCGCAGCAACUGGACACGAACGAAGAGACUCUGAGUGAUAUCUAAAAUAUAUCCCUAUUUCAGCUUGGCCGGAGACACAGAAAUAGAAUAGCCGAGGAUUGGAAACGUCGUAAAUACAGAGUAGAACGUCGAUUAUCCGAACUAAUCGGGACACAAAUCCGUUCCGAUUAAACAAGCGGUCUGGAGGAAUCAACUUCGCAAAUAGGUUUCAAACACGAGUGUUUAUUACGUAAAAGAAUACGUACAUAGAUGCUGUAAGAUUUCCAUUGUCUCUUCACCUGGUAUGCAACACAAGAGCUCUAUCUCUUGCGAUUAAUGCCAGAUCCAUUUGUACAUACAUACAUAGAUUUAAUUAUCAUCACAUUUGCUACCUUCGAACUUCUCUCUACAGAUGAAAAUCUCUCUUAUUGUUCAAGUUACUUUAAAAUUCCAAUAAUAUCGAUUCACUAUUUUUUAAUACUAGCACUAUUUUUUAAUACUAAUUGUACAUUUUCCAACAUUAUAUUCUGCGACUGAAUUAUAAUAUGUAUUUUCACUUCUUUUUUAAAUAUUCAAUGAUAUUUAAUUAAUUUUUCUUUUAAUAGUAUUUUCAUGGUGUAAAUGAAGGGCAAGUUUACCUGGACGAGGCACUAAAAUUUGGUGGACAUUUUAUCCAUUUCAAAGGAUCAUUUUAUCCGUUCCAAAGUAUAAAAGUUGCUCGUUUGAAAGAUGUAAUUUAAAUGUGCACUUAUAUAAUUAGGCUGUAUUCAGAUAAUUCACGUUCUACUGUAUAUUACUUUGGAAUUUUCUAAUAUAUAGGAUUCUAUACUCGAGGCAGAUUAAAUUCGAUUAUGUAGAAAUAUGUGUAUCGUACGUAUCGUUGUAUAAUUUAAUCUUCUAAUCAAAUUAAGUUCAAUGUACAUAUACCAUUGUACUGUUUUUCAAAGUUAAAACUUUUCUACAGUAUAAAAUUUUUAUGAUUUUUAUUCCAAUGAUAUAAUCGUAUAAUAGCUCUCUCUUUCUAUCUGUAUAUUAUUAUAAGUUGCAGGCUAAAGAGGGAAAUGGUUGAAUGUGUACAUAAACAUAAUUAAAUUUAUUUGCUUGUUAUGUUAUACUCUUCCUUUCGUUUAUUAAUGACACUUUGAAAAUAUUCCUCUUCAUUUAUAUACAUGUCCAAAUAAUCUUCGUUAGAAUUUCUUAUCAUUAUAAUUAAUCUCUUUGAUAAUAUAUAUCUUGUAAUCUAAAAUCUGUGUAUUUUUCUUUGCAUGUACAUGUGUGUGUGUGUGUGUGUAUGUAUGUGUGUAUUAAUACCUAUAAGUAGGUACCACUUAGAAAUCAAGGAGUAUCAUCUUGUCUAAAAUACUUUUUUUCAAUCACUUUAGAUUACAAAUAACUUUUUUUUUAUUUCUUAAUCGCAUCGUACGUUUACAUUAAUUAAAAAAUAGGUGAUCUGUAAAUGUUAUGUAUAAUCGUUAAUGUAUACAAUAGUAAACUGUGACAAUACUUUGCAAAUACUUGUUUAAAUCAUUAUCAAAUUACUUUCGUAUCGACGGAACGUGAAAAUACAUAUAUGUUAGAAAAAAUAUAUAGUGUAACUAUAUUAUGUAACAUCAUACGUUCGUUGUACACAAUAAAAACGAUAUUUCUACGUGCCGCGCAUUGAUUUCUCGUUAGUUUAUCUACUUCCCUGUUGAUUUAUCUUAAUUUCAACAACUUUCUUUUUCAAUAGAUCUCGCAAAUUUCAUUAUCAUCGGAACAACUAAAUA